UAAAUAAGAUAUUGUAGUAUAACUAUUUAUUUAUUAUUGAUAUUUUUAAAACAUUUUGUAAUUUAGUAAAGGUGAUUAAAAAUUAUUUUAUACUAUACCUUAGAUAAAGUACUGUGAAGGAAUAUUAUAUUAAUUUAAUUAAAGAAAAAAUUAAAAUUUGUACCUUUUGCAUCAUGGUUUAACUAGAUAUUUACUUUAUAAUUAAGUGUCUCGAAAUCUAAUGAGCUAUUUUUAUUCAUUAUAUUAGUAAUUUUAGACUAAUUGUAGCAAAAAUUUUCUUAGAAAUAAAAAUAGAAAUGAAAUUUUAUUCGUAUUAGAUGAUAGCUAGUUCUUCUUUAAAGGCAUAUAAGUGCUUUGAAUUGAUUUAAUUCCUAUAAGAUAAUAAUAGGAUAAAUUUUAAUUCAAUUAAAUUUUAGAGGAUAAUCUCUAAAAUUAUAAUUUAUAUUUGCAUAAUAAUUUUUUAUUAAAAUUUAAGCUUGAAAAUAGCUAAAAUAUUGAUUUUGUUGCAAUCUCAUUUCUUAAAAAAUAAAAUAAUUUAUUUGCUUAAAUAGGAAAGAAGAAAACUUUUUAAUUAAAACUAAGCUUAAUUCAUGUUAAUAUUAGUAUUAAGUACUUUAUAAAUUUUUAAUAUAAUACGAGUUAUAAAUUAUAACUUAUAUAAUAUCCCUAAAUCGAAAAAAGGAACUCGGCAAAUAUCACUACUCCGCCUGCUAUUUUCAAAACAUAGCUCCUUGUUUAAGUAAGAUAGGGAGUCGGACCUGCCCAGUGAAUUUUUUUAACGGCCGCGGUACUCUGACCGUGCAAAGGUAGCAUAAUCAUUUGCCUUAUAAUUGAAGGCUAGUAUGAAUGGUUUGACAAGAAUAUAGCUGUCUCUUUUUGAUUAAAUAGAAUUUUAUUUAUAGGUGAAGAAGCCUAUAUUUAAUUAAAAGACAAGAAGACCCUAUCGAGCUUUAGGUAAGUUAAUAAAUCAAAUAUAUUAAUAAAAUUAAAAAAUUUAAUAUUAAAAACUUUGGUUGGGGCGACUAAGGAACAAAUAAAGCUUCCUUUAAAAUAAAUAAAUUAUACAAAUAAUGAUCCAGAAAUAUUCUGAUUAAAGGAAUUAGUUACCGUAGGGAUAACAGCAUUAUCUUCUUUAAGAGUGCUUAUCGAAAAGAAGGUUUGUGACCUCGAUGUUGGACCAGAAUAUCCUAAAGAUGCAGCAGUCUUUAAGGGUUGGUCUGUUCGACCAUUAAAAUUCUACGUGAUCUGAGUUCAGACCGGCGUGAGCCAGGUCAGUUUCUAUCUUUA
rnacentral:rRNA from 1 species